rnacentral:lncRNA from 1 species
UGGGCCAAGCUCAUUCUAAGAGAGGCCCACGGACAGAAGCAGAAAUGCGGGAACCCUAAAAGGAAGGGGAAGCCGGAGCCCCCAUCCCAAUCUCGAUUCGCCACUCCCAUCCCCGCCGGCCGCCGCUGGCCCCUUUCCCCUUCUCCGACCGGACCGCGCUCCUCAGGUUUUCGUGAUUUCAUCUUUGCAUUUGAAGGGCAGGGCAGGACGCGCAAUCCACUGCGGUCGCAUCUGUUUGCUGGAGAAUCUCAUCGUCGACGUCCCUUCCAAGGCGCCAAAUGGCUACGCUGCGUCGAUCUGGCAGGCCAGCUGUUCGGUAACACCGCUACACCACCACCACCAACAACAAUCGCACAUGGAUCAGAGUCAGCAGCUGUGCAAGAAGACUACACCUCUCAGACACUGGUGUCCGACUCCUGUAAUCCCAAGAAGAAGGCAGCAGGCUUAAAGAUGGAGAGGAUUCGGCUUCCCAGACCCAUCCUCAAGUUCCGACCUGCUCUAAACGAGGCAUGUAGGAUUGAUUGCUUCCCUUUUGUGGAUCACAAGAUGUUCUGGGUGGAUCACUUGGGGCGCCCUUUCCUCUUUGAAGCAGAGACACGGCUGAUGGACAUGUUGCCCUGUCUCCACAAGCCCAAGUCGAUGCCCUUUUCUGUGUUUGUACCCAACGCCGAUGCUGACAAUGACUAUGAACACCACCGCCCUGGCAGCAGUCUUUUUGUUAUGGAGAGGAUUCCCAAGCCAGAGGUCAACUCAAGCACACAGUGGAGCGAUCAGUUUGAGGCCUUUGUCUACUGCAAGCACAAGCGGACAUCGACCAACUUCUCCAAGACCUGGCAGUGGCAACUCCUCCCGCCCGCCGUACCCGCCCAGAGAUCAGCUCCUACACAUCGCUCACCGUCAAUGGUGACCCCCCACAUUUGCAUCUCCAUCGAUGGUGUUGGCACCUACUGCCUGAACACGGCAAGCCACACAUGGAUAAAAGUCGGUAAUUGGACCCUACCCUUCCAUGGCAGGGUUGAGUAUGUGCCUGAGUUCAACCUCUGGUUUGGCUUCAGCUCCGAUGAGUCACCGCACUACUUGGCUGCUUCUAACCUCUCUGCCAUGGACUCCCAGCCACAGUUAGUGGGUCGUUGGGAGGAGCUUUACCUGCCAGAGGAUUUGAAGGAAUGCAAAAACCCUCAACUUGUCAACCUCGGCUCUGGCAGGUUCUGCAUCACAAGGUUCUUCCACUCUAGGAGUCACAACAGUGACUCUCGGGGUGAUGUUGACCAGAAUGUUGCUGUCUUUACCGGUGUGGAGGUGAAGCCAUGUUUCCAGGAUGCCAAUGGCGGCAGUGGGAAAGUGGAACUCCAAAUGAUCCCACACAAAUCAUUAUUUCACAAGUCUAAUCACACUACCAUCGAUGCUGUGUUCUGA